UCUGACUCGAGACGAGUGGUUCAGUCUAGAUCUGACUCGAGACGAGUGGUUCAGUCUAGAUCUCGAGUCAGAUCUAGACUGAACCACUCGUCUCGAGUCAGAUCU
rnacentral:pre_miRNA from 1 species